UACAGAGGUCCCAAGCGUUGCUCGGAUUCACUGGGCGUAAAGGGUGCGUAGGCGGUUGGGUAAGUCUGAUGUGAAAUCUCACAGCUUAACUGUGAAACUGCAUUGGAUACUAUCCGGCUAGAGGAAUGGAGGGGAGACUGGAAUACUUGGUGUAGCAGUGAAAUGCGUAGAUAUCAAGUGGAACACCAGUGGCGAAGGCGAGUCUCUGGACAUUUCCUGACGCUGAGGCACGAAAGCGUGGGGAUCAAACAGG
rnacentral:rRNA from 1 species